CCUGCAGUGUCUGGUGUCGGGUCUCGUCCCGUCUCAGGUGCGUGUGUUCUGGAUGAUCGGAGGGACUGUGGUCUCUGGAUGGACAGAGUCUGGCUGGACAGACCACACGGAGUCAGCCGCCGAGUUCACUCGAGCUCAUCUCUCUUCCCGUCGAGGAGUGGAGCCGAGCCGAUGAUAUUCAGUGCGUCGCCGUAUAUGACGGCAAGAACAUCUCCAGGACUCUGAUGCGAAGAGGAUCCGAACCAGAGAUCUACUCGUGGCUUAUCUACACCGGCUGUGUGGCAGCAGUCCUGACCAUAAUUAUAACCGUCUCCAUGGCUGUGGGAUUAUUUUGAGAUACGGUGAUGACCAACAAAUCCAGAAGGCUCACAACAAAAGACGCCCACCGCAAAAUUGGUAAACAGAACACACUGAGAGAAGAGACUUCAUCUGUCCUGGUAAGAGGACGAAGUGAAGAUGAACAUUGAACUAUAACUUUUUUUUUUUCUGAAUGUCUCGUGAAAGACUAAACAAGCUCGACAUAUGUAUCACAACAAUUCUGACAGUAUUUUUCAUGAAACAUACCAUGCAAUGCGGGUAUGUUACUCUCCAGUGAUAUUGGUAAAAGCUUUAACAUUAUUUAAGCAUCGAAACAAAAAAAGUUAUAUGCAAAUAAAUAAAUAGUAAAUACAUGGUAAUAAACAAUUAUGUUAAAAGGCAUGCAAGAAACAACCUGAGGCUGAAAAUAUUCUGGCGUAUAUAUUUAACUGAAAGCCGACGCCUGGUUCAGAUGUGUUUUUUUAGUAACGAUGGCUGUUCCUUGCAGUUUUUGUCUUGAAAUUAUUUGAACUAUUAUAUUACUUCCUUUAACUUUUCUUUGGAGCUAUAGACACGUGAAUGUCAUGAAUGUCAUAGAAUGAAAAACAUUUUUACGGAAAACCUCUUUAAUGUACAUGGCUCUCUGGAUUUCUUCCAUCCGGCUGUCAAUAUUUAUUCAUUAUGCAUUAUAUUUAUUCACUGGCAAAUACUAGAAAUAUGAGCAAACUCUUCAAGGAAACAGAUCAAAUGCUCUUAUAAGAGCAUGAGGAAGCUGCAGCUAUUUAGGGAUGAGAAAUGCUUCUAGCAUUUUAUGAUGUUAGUAUUUUAUCCAGUGUUUCUCUGGGGAUCCCAUCAGUCACGGACAGGACGUUGGUCCAUCGAAACAAUAAAGGUAGUGCAAAAGUAGAAUUUGUAAUCGCAAAAGUACCCUUACAAAAAGUGAUACUUACAAAUAUCUGUCUCUUUUUUCAGCGUGGAGAAGAAAAUGCUGCAUAAAAUACUAAAAGAAAAGUUUAAAAUGUAAUAUAUUGUUAUAUGUUGUUUACUCAUAGCAGAAUCUCUGUUCUUCUUUUGUUAUAAUGCAUGAUCAUGAAUAUUUAUUGGUUAGGAACUGUUCUUAAAGGCUAUGUGUUUUUAGUUAGAUAUUUCGGUAACACUAUAUUUUGAUGGUCCCUCAUGAACAUUAUGUUGAUAAUAAGUAACUUUGCAAAUACAUGUCAACUAACUUUCAUUAAAGUAUAAGUAGACUGAAUGAUUAUUAUCUAAUAACCCUUUAUUGUGAUGAUCUCCCAACAGACAUUAUACUGACUGUAGGUAACUUCUCAAGAGCAUUAUUCUAAGCCUAACCCUACCAGUCUUAUACCGAAAGUUAGUUGACAUGUAGGUAUAAUAUUUGAGAUUGUUGUCAUAUGUGAUUUUGAUUUUUGAUUUUUUUGGGUUUGAAAACCCACUGUGCAUGAAACAGGAAAAUGUUUGGCCUCUUGCUGUAGCCUUCAUCCUCUCAUUCGACAGCUUGUGGUUAGACAGAAGCUGCAUAACAGGAUGUCGGAAGAAACGAGAGUCUUAUGACACAGAAAUGAAUCCUCCUUUCAUUGUCCGUUUCUGCAGCAAACCCACUGCCGUUAUUUAAGCCCUGAUGUGAAACGGUUUAAAAAAAUUGUAUUGUCAUGUAAUGUCUUUCCCUCCAUCCUUACAGUAUGUAAAUAACCACACUUGUUGUUAUGACAUAUAAUAAAUAAAAUGAAAUUGGUAGCAAA